rnacentral:rRNA from 1 species
UGUGCUUGAUCGCCUCAGAAAAGGGGUUUUCCGCAAGGACAAGUACAAGGUGCUGCAUGGUUGUCGUCAGCUCGUGCCGUGAGGUGUCGGGUUAAGUCCCAUAACGAGCGCAACCCACGUUGUUAGUUACCAGCAUGUAAUGAUGGGGACUCUAACAAGACUGCCGGUGUAAACCGUGAGGAAGGUGUGGAUGACGUCAAAUCAGCACGGCCCUUACAUCCAGGGCUACACACGUGUUACAAUGGCCGGUACAGAGGGCAGCUACCUAGCGAUAGGAUGCCAAUCUUUAAAACCGGUCUCAGUUCGGAUCGAAGUCUGCAACCCGACUUCGUGAAGCUGGAUUCGCUAGUAAUCGCAUAUCAGCCAUGAUGCGGUGAAUACGUUCCCGGGCCUUGUACACACCGCCCGUCAUACAAUGGAAGCCGGGGGUACCUGAAGUAUGUAACCGCAAGGAGCGUCCUAGGGUAAAACUGGUAACUGGUGUU